UCUAGACCUGGAACAGAACGGGAGCGAGGAUGUCUGGUGCCUAGUCAUAUCCACACCCGAGGAGUGUCUGCGUGUGCACAGCUGGCUGCUCGGGGCUCGAGUGGAGGCCCUAAUAUGAAUGGCGACCUAGUCUGCUGGCUGAGACCUUGGCAGUGACCACUGUGGGCAAUGAGCCAUCGACCAACAAUUCCAUGUGAGCCUGUCUCUAAUAUUGAAGAUUUAUAUAUCUCAAUGGACAAGAACCACAAAGGUUCAAUGAUGCGCUCCUCAUGGUACCUAAAUGAUCCUAAGCCUCUGGGGCAGGAAGAAAGGGACUCAGUUUGUGCUUGACUUCAGCAAGUGGAUGCGCCCCCUCCAACUGAAUCAUCCCGGAACAUCAAAGGUCUCAGUUUUUACCUCUGUGGGUAAGGAAAGAAGAGAUUAAUGGCACUGUCGUUGGGAUGUCGUGUGGUUGGAAUCAUACAGCAUGAUGCCUUUCCAGGACCCCUGAUUUAAUCAUUUAAUAUGGAAUCGUUGUCCUGAGUAAGGAGCAUAGAUGAGAAUAAAGAAUGAGCUCAGCUGGUGUGGCUUCGUGGCUACCUUCUGGGGAAGAUCUUGCCUGUUUACCUUCUGGGGAAGAUCUUGCCUGUUUCCCUCUGGAAAAGAUUGCUCAUCCCUCAGAAGCAAUGGCUUUGUCUGCUUUAAGCACUGGACCCUGCUCACAAACCCUACACUUUUUCUCGGUAUUUACAUGAAGACCCCAAAACCUGUGUGAGUAAUAUUUAAAUGUAUUGUUUUUCUCAGUGGAAUGCUCUUUGUUAUUAUAGAGUAUCAGUGAUAUCUGAGUAAAGGAUCUGGUUGUUCUGAAGAAGAAAACACAGCCAUAGGCACACAUUACUAGAGAAGAAGACGGCUAACACGGACCGAUGAUGACAAGGGUCAGCACUAUAAGUCACUGACGAUGACUACAAUUUUUUUGUCUGAGGUUCAGAAAACAACACAUCUCAGGUGCUCCCUCCGCUAGCCAGGGGAUGGAAGUUAGGCCUGUGGAACAAGCAUUGUGCAUUAGAAUCAGGCACUUUUAUGCAUGUUCUUUUCUCAUUUGAUCAAUGAAACAUGAUACAAAUAUAUACACAAAUGCAAAUGUAAAUGAAUAUUUUGAGACAUUGAUCAAUUAGAAAAUAAAUAUUUGACUACAAAUUCUGCUACGACAUGUAGAAAACACAGAAGCCGGUUAAGAUUAAUUGGCAUAAAGAUUAUAUAAAAUUUAUCCAAGUUCACAUAUGAAGUGUAAUUAAUGGAUUAAGCCCCAGUAUGGGUUAACACCUUAAUUUUAAUUUUCAGUCUUACUUGAUUUCUAACAACCUGAAUCCUAAAUAACAAAUAUUGGAAGGAGAAAUGUAGACAUAAUUUGAAAAAUAUCAAAUCUUUUUAUUUUUUUUCCUGCUUUGUACUCUCUGGAUGGAUGAUGACUGACCCAUUGUUUCCUGGCUGGGAGGUCCAUGGUUUUCCUAGCCUCAAGUUUAAAGAUCAAGGGAACUGAUGAGCUCAUGAAGACAGGAUGCCUGAGGAUUCCACAGGAAGUAAACCUUCUUUGUAUUGUCAGAGCAAUGUCCAGUGUUUCUGUCCUUAGUAGAUCAUAUGACAGUGUCAUACAUACUUAGAAUGGAUUCCGCCCCCAUGCGGAUUUUCACUCUCCCUCGCUCAUGAGCUUCAUAAUGAGCUGUUUUAGACUGUAAUGCAGAUAGUAAUGGAUACCCUACAAGCUGAUUUUAUACAGUCUAACUUGAAACAGAACCUCGUGAUCCAGCCUCUGUGUUCACAGGAAAGACACAGUAAUGGCUGCCCUAAGCUGAUGUAUAAAUUCUUCCUUGCUUGUGAGAUUCCUGCUCUAAUCCUUGUAGCCCUAAGAUAGACACAUUUGCAUGUAGUCAGUGUUCAUGCCUCCAACUUGGUACUUUUAAAGACUACGCACACUAUUGUUGAAAUACUACUCGUCCUCUGGAAGACCAACUAUGUCCAUACGAAUGGAGCCACCAGGCUGAUAAUUGGUCACGAGCAAUAUAGACACAGUGAUGGAUUUCUCCCCAAAGAUGAUUUACACCUUCAUUGGUGAUGAUCUUCAUGGUCAGCUCUUUGGGUUCAUAAUAUAGACACAGUAACAGAUACCCCAAAGCUGAUUUUAGACAUUCGUCCUCUGUCACCAGCUUCUUGAUCCGCUGUUUGUAUUCGUAGCAUAGAUACAGUGAUGGAUUUCCACCCACCUUCUGCUUUCAUUAUGAUCUUCAUGGUCAGCUCUUUGGGUUCGUAAUAGACACAGUAAUGGAUGUCAUUGAGCUGAUUUUACAUUCUCCCUCGGUCAUGGGUUUUGUGAUCAACUCUAUUGAUUAGUAAUAUUGUCACAGUAGAUGAAUACCCUCCAGCUGACUUCCACAUUCAUUCUUCAUUAUGAGGCCCAUGAUCUGCUCUCUGUUCAUAUGAUAGAUGCUGUAAUAGACGCCUUCAUCACUGGUCACCGGGUUCAUGCAUCAUAGGGACCCACCACAGAUGCUUUCUGACUGAUGUUCACAUUCUGGUCGACGAGUCCACCGUUACCCUACAUGUCAGGAAGACAGAUACCAAUAAAGGCCAACUCCAGAACAAUGGGUGGAUCCCUCCUGGUCCUCACCUCCAAGGUUGCCUGUGUUGUUAGGGUCAUGGCUACAAUCGGAUCAGGGAACCCUAUGGAAGAGGAGGUGCAAAGAUUGUAAGGACCAAUGAGAAUGGAGGACACCAAGGAAACGAGGCCUUCUAGAUACAGCAGGACCGAUGCAGAUCUGAACUCAUAGAGACCGUGACAGUGUGCAUGGGGCCUGCACAGGUCUAAGCCAGAUGGGGUCCCAGCACUGAGAGGGGCAGUGGACACAAGCCCCCAUCCCUAACUCAGAAGCUAUCUCUAAUCCAUAGACUCGCUCAGAGGAAAAACUCCAAUGGAAUCUCACUGGAUAUAUAGACUACUCCUAAGAGCGGCCUCCAUGCUCAGAUGGCCAACCCAAAAUGAACUCAAUGGCAUUUUUGGAAGAUCUUGUGACACAUAAUGCUUUGUCUAGGUAUUUUUUUCUUGCCCUACAGACAUUUUGCAUAUAUAUUGUGGUUUCUGAUAUUAGUUUUUAUGAGUUUUCUAUGUCUGUGAUUGUAUGUGUCUCAGAGCCUGUAUUUGUUUUUGGUGAUUUAUCGUAGGCUCUUUUUUUGCUUAUUCUGUUUUGUUUGCAUUUAUAUUUCCUCCUCCUUAGUUUAGAUGCCUGCUUUCACUGUAAUAAGAGAAUAGAAUAAUUAGUGUGAAUUUGGGUGGGUGUGUAAAUAGGGAGGAGAUGGGAGGUGUUGGGACAGGAAACCAUAAUACAAAUAGUGUAUUGUCAAUAAAAAGCAUUUCCUCUAUCACUAAAAAAAAGUGUGAAGUACAGUUAUUGAAAUUGGAUGGAUGGAUCACUGGAAAUGUAAACAAAUAAUAUGAGUGAAUGCUUCCUCACAUCACAAGAUAAAAGAUGUUGAGAAUACUGAUGUCCAUGUGGGAUGUGGCUAGACCUGAACCUAAGGUAUUACAUGUAUGUAUGAAUAUUAACUAAAAUAUCUUUUAAAAGAAAUGUUGAAGCAAUUAUUUUGCUAUUAGAAGAAAAUUAAAAUAUUAAAGUGUUGUCUUUUGGGCUAUGAAAA